GAUGAAGAACGUAGCGAAAUGCGAUACUUGGUGUGAAUUGCAGAAUCCCGUGAACCAUCGAGUCUUUGAACGCAAGUUGUGCCCGAAGCCAUUAGGCCGAGGGUACGCCUGCCUGGGCGUCACACGUCGUUGCCCCCCCAUCUACUCCUUCGGGAUUGCGGGGGGCGGAUGAUGGCCUCCCGUGCGCCUCGCCGCGCGGUUGGCAUAAAUGCCAAGUCCUCGGCGACGCACGCCACGACAAUCGGUGGUUGCGAAACCUCGGUUGCCCGUCGUGUGCGGUCGUCGCGCAUCGAGGGCUCGAAAAAAUUGCCGGGUUCCGGCUCGGCUUUCAACGCGACCCCAGGUCAGGCGGGGUUACCCGCUGAAUUUAAGCAUAUCAAUAAGCGGAGGA
rnacentral:misc_RNA from 1 species